rnacentral:rRNA from 1 species
AGUGAACGCUGGCGGUAGGCCUAACACGUGCAAGUCGAACGGCAGCACAGUAAGAGCUUGCUCUUACGGGUGGCGAGUGGCGGAUGGGUGAGGAAUACAUAGGAAUCUACUUUUUCGUGGGGGAUAACGUAGGGAAACUUACGCUAAUACCGCAUACGACCUACGGGUGAAAGCAGGGGAUCUUCGGACCUUGCGCGAUUGAAUGAGCCGAUGUCGGAUUAGCUAGUUGGCGGGGUAAAGGCCCACCAAGGCGACGAUCCGUAGCUGGUCUGAGAGGAUGAUCAGCCACACUGGAACUGAGACACGGUCCAGACUCCUACGGGAGGCAGCAGUGGGGAAUAUUGGACAAUGGGCGCAAGCCUGAUCCAGCAAUGCCGCGUGGGUGAAGAAGGCCUUCGGGUUGUAAAGCCCUUUUGUUGGGAAAGAAAAGCAGCGGGUUAAUCCCCCGCUGUUCUGACGGUACCCAAAGAAUAAGCACCGGCUAACUUCGUG